AGUGAACGCUGGCGGUAGGCCUAACACAUGCAAGUCGAACGGCAGCACAGUAAGAGCUUGCUCUUACGGGUGGCGAGUGGCGGACGGGUGAGGAAUACAUCGGAAUCUACUUUUUCGUGGGGGAUAAAGUAGGGAAACUUACGCUAAUACCGCAUACGACCUACGGGUGAAAGCAGGGGAUCUUCGGACCUUGCGCGAUUGAAUGAGCCGAUGUCGGAUUAGCUAGGUGGCGGGGUAAAGGCCCACCAAGGCGACGAUCCGUAGCUGGUCUGAGAGGAUGAUCAGCCACACUGGAACUGAGACACGGUCCAGACUCCUACGGGAGGCAGCAGUGGGGAAUAUUGGACAAUGGGCGCAAGCCUGAUCCAGCCAUACCGCGUGGGUGAAGAAGGCCUUCGGGUUGUAAAGCCCUUUUGUUGGGAAAGAAAAGCAGCAGGUUAAUACCCCGCUGUUCUGACGGUACCCAAAGAAUAAGCACCGGCUAACUUCGUG
rnacentral:rRNA from 1 species